GUAUUAGCUAAAAACUAUGUGGACCUAGCCCUUAUCAUUAAAAUAAAACACUCAAGGGUUUACAAACUAUUGAAAUUUAAGAAAAUGUCUUUGCAAUGAAUGCUACUAAGACUCACUGUUAUUAAGUACAUACAUAUCAAUUCCAUAAACUCAAUGGAAAACAUUUUACUGUGCUUGUAAAAAGAAGUGACUCAUAAACAGGAAUUCUGUCAUUUUAUCACUUUCAUGAUAGAAUGAUGUGUAGAAUUUGUUUUACAAUGCUCCAGAAAUAAAAUGUAGGGAAUGGAAAGAAGAUAGGUGAAAGAAAAGUGGUGCAACAUCAGUCAGUGUUGAAGCUAAGUUCAUUUUGCUACUUUACCUACUCAUGCAUAUGUUGGAAAAUUUACAAAAUGAAAAGCUAAAAGGAGAGAGAGCAUCUUCAGCAUGAAAGACAGCCAUUACCAAAGCAUUUCCUAUCUUUAACAAAAACUGAAGUCUUAGCCUUCAGACUAAGGAUGGUAGGAAGAAAGUAGCAAGGAAGUAUGGGACUGACCUUGCCGUAAGGAGUCACAGACCAGGCUGUCUCUCUUUUGGCCUGCUGCCAUCCGCGUAAGACAUGACUUACUCCUCCGUGCCUUCCACCAUGAUUGUGAGGCUUCCCCAGCCAUGAGGAACUGUUACAAAAACCUGAGACUUCCAUUUUGCUGGAAACUUCUUUUCCUCUUGCACACUCACUCUGCGACUCUGUGUGGAGAGCUCCAUGUGACAAGGGAGGUCUGCAGCCUAAGCAACUGAGACCUCAGCCCAACAGCCCUCAAAGAACUGGAUCUUCAAACAACCACAUGAGUGACCUAGAAGCAAAUCUGUCACCAGUGCUCUUGAGACGGGCUGAAGUAUUUAAUCACCGGCACAAAAUGUCCCAGUGUUCUGUUCUCCUGCUGUGGAAAUUUUAGAGAAAAGAUCAUGAUCUAAGAGUCUACAAGACCAGAGCAGCCUGAAUUGCUGAGCUGCCUGGUGGAGAAUAGCAGCAUUGGGUGGUUCCCAGGAUUCUUAAAAGGACUUUACAAAGGCCUGGCCUAAUCACUUAAGAGCUCUUAAGGAGUGAAUGGGCUCUUCCUGAAAAAAGAGCUUCUGCUAACCCUGAAAAGCAAGCAACAACCCUGUGAACUGCUAUGGAGAGAGAUGGCCUCUAACAGCUGAGGACCUCAGUCCUACAACCACAAGAAACUGAUUUCUGCCAACAACAUGAAUGAACUUGGAAAAGGCCCCUGAGCUCCAGAUGAGAACACCCAGGUCAACUCAGGUCAUGAGCAGAGAACCCUGUUAUAUUCUCCUUGGCUUGUGAUCCAUAAACAAUGAGAUUAUAAAUGUGUGGUUUUUAAGCCAUUAGGUUUGUGGUAACUUGUUACACAAGCCUCUUUUAGAUUCUUUACAUACACAAAUAUAUUCUAAACGAAUAAUGAGUCUUCCUUUCCCAUCUUUAUACCAUUUACUUCUUAUUCUUCCCUUACCGCUUUAAGACCUCUAGUAUAAAGUUGACUAGAAAAGGUGGUAGUGGCAUUAUUGUGUAGUUCUUUAUAUCAAAGGGAAGAUUUUCAAUGUUUUCAUGUUAAGUAUGACAUUUACUGUAGGUUUUUCAUAGAUGCUCUUUAAUCAGUUUAAGCAAUUCUUGUCUAUCCCUAGAAUUAUUGUCAGGAAUAAAUGUUGACUUUUAUCGAACACUGUUUCUGCACCUUUUAAAAAUAUCAUAUUUUUUCCUUCAAAUGGUUACUGUGUUGAAUUAUAUUAGCAGACAUUCUAAUGUUAAAGUAACCUAUCAUUCCAGAGAAAAGGAGGUGAGAAUAGCAGUUUAGUUAUGAUGCUGUAUCCCUUUUAUAAAUUCUUGGAUGCAAUUUGCCAAUAUUUGGUCUAAGAUUUUUGCAUUAUGUUAAUGACUGGAAAUGAGUCUUAAUUUUCCUUUAUUUUUCUGGCUUCUUUGUGUUUCGAUAUCAAGAAUAUGCAAGUCUCAUGCAAUAAAUUCUAUGGAAGAGUU
rnacentral:lncRNA from 1 species